GGCGGCCUACGGGACGCAGCAGUGGGGGAUAUUGCACAAUGGGGGAAACCCCGAUGCAGCGACGCCGCGUGUGGGAAGACGGUCUUCUGGAUUGUAAACCACUGUCCCCAGGGACGAAAAUGACGGUACCUGGGGAGGAAGCUCCGGCUAACUACGUGCCAGCAGCCGCGGUAAUACGUAGGGAGCAAGCGUUGUCCGGAAUUACUGGGUGUAAAGGGAGCGUAGGCGGGGGUGCAAGUUGGGUGUCCAAACU
rnacentral:rRNA from 1 species